ACUAAUAUAUUUGGUAUGGAUCUGUACUAAUUUCUGCUGACUUCCUUUCUAGGGUCCUCGUGGUCCUCAAGGGAUUGACGGGGAACCUGGUAUCCCUGGACAGCCUGGUGAUCCUGGACCCCCAGGACAUCCAACUCACUCAGGACCAGAUGGGAGGAAUGCACCGUUUGCAGCUCAGAUGGCAGGAUUGGAUGAGAAAUCUGGAAUCAGUAGUCAAAUGGGAUUCAUGCCCGGUGCAGUGGGGCCAGUGGGUCCAAGAGGUCCGCAGGGUCUACAAGGACAACAAGGUGGUGUUGGCCCCACAGGCCCGCCAGGUGAAGCUG
rnacentral:lncRNA from 1 species